UACUUAGCAGUUACAAAUCGAUGGCAUUUGAUGGUUAUACUCCUGUGGGUACAGAUCCUGGGGCUGCAAUGAAAACGACCACAUCUGCAUCAAGCCCGCAGUAUAGUAGAUCUGCAUCUGCACCAGCUGAAGAAAUACCUUGCCCUGUUUACGAGUAUACUCCUAAUGAUGCGGCAACGGAAAAUAUUGCACCACCCACAUAUGACUCUGUUUUUGGACCUGCCAGCACUGCCAUUAGCAAGACCACUGAAAGGAUGAAAGACUUUGGAAAUGCAGACAAUAGGAACAAGGAACAAUAUGUGCCGGAUUCGUGUUGUGAGCUGUUCUGGAAAUUUAUUAUGGUGAACCUACUUAUAUGUGGAAUUCCUCUCGCGCAAAUGGUUGUGGGAAUCGUAUACUGGGACCAAUGUCCCCUCUCAAGCAACAUACCUCUAUACAUGGUCCUGAAUGGUGUUGGUUGGUUCUUACUUGGACUGAGAAUCUGGGCACCUAACUGGGUUGAUCAACACAGAUGGUUUGGUAACUUCUUGGGAUGGGUGUGUGGUCUGGCAAUUUUAUUUGUCAUUGGUUGGUUUCUUGGUGGCAGCUACUGGGUAUUCAAGGAGUUCCGUCGCGUGGAGUACACACCUACUGAAAAUAGACCCGAACCAAUGGUCAAAGUGGAUCCAUAUGACGAUAUAGAUGGUCCAUUUACCAAUAAUACGUUCCUAGUAACUACAAAACAAGGAACGAGGAACCAAACAUUGGUUAUCAACUGGAAUGGCAAGGAAAGGGAACAAUUGAAAAUAACCGACAAACACAUCGAUCUGUGUGAUAAAAUAUUUUCCUACAGAGGUAACGGUACGACCCAGGCUGGGGAAUGGUCCAUAUUUUUCAACUUCACGGUUGUCGAGAUAGGGUUCAAUGGCCAUACCUUGGUGAAAUCUACAAAAGAGAGACUUGAAACGUGUUAUUUUUGGGAGAGGAAAGUUGACAAGAUUAGAGCUGGUAAUGCUGCUGUAACCGUUCGAUUUAAGGACAAGGCACUGAAUGAGAUUUACUUUGAAAAUGACCCUUACUGUAACAAGGCAUUAUACCUCUUUGCCUUCAUAGUCCUCAUCAUUGUGUAUGCUAUUGCUGGAUCUACUGCUACAGUUGCUGUUUGCUUGGGCUGAUGGGAAAUGGAGCUGGAAGUAGAUGUGGAGGUAAACUGGAGGUAAACUGGAGGUAAACUGUAAAGAAGAUUAACAAUUAGAUAAUUAGAUGAUAAAGAAGAUUAGAUCACUUAUACUUCUAUACACGUUCAUGAAGCAGGUUUCUACUGUAGUAAAGACAGAUGUGUUUGUAUCCUAUCUAAAACAAAUCAAUUGAGAACAUUGACCGAUAUUGUCUUGUUUAAAAAUAGACUAAAGACUCAUCUUUUUGAAAAAGUAUUCAUAUAAGUUUCAUAAAAUAACAAUUUUCAUAAAAACCCAUAUGUCAUAACAUGCUAAGUUCGUAUGUACAUGUUCAUUGUUCAUAAGUCGUUUUAGAUGGCUUGAACUGAAUCUUUGGAUUUUGAGUUCUUUUUGGCUAUAAAGCGAUGUAUGAAUUUCUGUUUGUUAUUAUUAUUGUUAAUAAGUCAGCAUAAUUGCUUAUGGGUUUUAAGUUUUAUCGUUUUCAGUAUUUUUAAAUCUUUCAGCAUUUUUUAAUAACAUUUUCGUUUAAAGGAUAGGUUUUUUAAUCAACCAUUAAAGGUAUAGCCCAUUUCAUAGUUAUUUCCUCUUAUUAAUAAAUAUGGAUAGUAUUAUUUGUAAAUUGUUAUGAUCAGAUCUGAGAAGUGUUUUAUAUUUAUAAUACGAUUAUUGUACAUAUUUUUCUUCGAAAUGCUGCAAUAUUUUUGUAAAUUUGAAAUCAGUUAAUAUUAAAUAGUUUCUCUUCAUCAUCUAUUCUGUAAAAAUUAAGUUUUAUCAGACGAUGAUGAUAGAGUGUUCCCUAGUUAAUGCUUUUUAUCAAAAAAUAUCAAUAACAAACAAAGUUAUGAAUAGCUAUCAGUCAUAGCGUGAGCGUAAAUGUGAGCUAGUCAUGAGUCAUGACGUAUCACAUAGUUGUGAGCAAAUAAAAACACUGAAGGCACAAACAAGUUCACUUUAUCAGUCAUUAUACUCUUGAUGAUAUCUAAACAUAUUGUGUGAAAUUGAGCAAAUAUUGAUAUAUGUUAGCUUUUAAACACCCUAUAUUACGUACUAUAAUAUGGAAUAUGGAUCAAUCAACACUAUUACAACCACGCAUCAGUCACAUCGUAUUCUAAUCGAGGUUUGGUAAACUUAAAGAUAGUGCAAGUAAUCUUAAUUACAUCACAUAAGGUGUUGUAACAGUUAGAUACAUUUUCGUUCACAUCGACAGGUCUUAUUAUGGCUGGAAUUUAUUAAUACAGAAAAUAUAGCAGCCCAUGCCCGUUUUUUUUCAUAUUAAAUUCAUAUUUAAUA